rnacentral:misc_RNA from 1 species
UUAACUUAUUUUUCUUUUACUCAGAGACGCCGCUGUAAUACAUGAGUUUGUGACCUCCGGCGGGCGCCCCUCGCCCCGGAGGGCGUGGGCUGCGGUCCCCCGAGGGGUCCCGCGCCGCCGAAGCAACUUGGAUACGUUCGCGAUGGUUUGAAGUUGCCUUUCGGCUUCCUGUAAUGAUCCCUCCGCUGGUUCACCAACGGAGA